UUUACCGGACCCCGGGGGCGGACGCGGCCUAGUGGCGGACGGGUGAGUAACGCGUGGGCAAUCUGCCCCGUACCGGGGGAUAACACCUGGAAACAGGUGCUAACACCGCAUGACAGGCGGGGGCGCAUGCCCCGGCCUUGAAAACUCCGGUGGUACGGGAUGAGCCCGCGUCCGAUUAGCCAGUUGGCGGGGUAACGGCCCACCAAAGCGACGAUCGGUAGCCGGCCUGAGAGGGUGGACGGCCACAUUGGGACUGAGACACGGCCCAAACUCCUACGGAAGGCAGCAG
rnacentral:rRNA from 1 species